GUUGGGGGAUGGGGAAAGGUCUGUUGGUUGUAAUUUUGGAUAGGGGAAAUUCUUUAGUUCAUGCUGCAGCAGGAGGGUGAACAGAGCCCCCAGUGUUUAGGCAGAGAAAAGAAUGCAGGGUCCUCUUCCAGCUGUUCCAUGUUAAAGCUGCCAGGCUGCAAGACUCAGCAGAGGUCUGGGCUGCCAUUUGAUGACACGGUCCAGUCCAGGGCGGCAGGGCCUGGGAGACACUAAAGUGAGUGCGUGUGAGUUGGUCCGGGGGUUGUGGGUUAUUGUUAAGCUGUUUAAAGUGAGUGCGUGUGCCUUCAGGGCAGCAAGAGGAGAGCAGGCCUCCUCCUUACUCCUCCUCCCCGGUGUGGUGCUCUUGAGGCUGAAAACCCUUGGAUGGGAUGUUUCCAUAUAUAGAAUCAUAGGCUGGAAGUCAGCCGGGAAAUCCUUACAGCCCUUUUCCUGACCAGACAGGACCGAACCCAGAGGUCCCUGUGCUGCCAAGUGUGGAAGGCCACACUGAGAGAGAUCACACAGGCCCCACUGGGAUUCAGCCCGAGCCCAAACAGCCCAUCCGGUUACUCAUAGGGGUGGCAGGGGCAGGGCCCUUUCUGUUCAGUUCCACAUUUAUAAAUAGCUGAAGGGCCAGCCUCCUUCAUAAGGGUGUGGAAGCAUAACUUGGAAAAGCCAUGAUCUACUCUCUUGACUCCUGUCCUUGAUAUGACAGGGUAGCCUGGUUCAGCUGCUUGAUUUUGUUUUCUCAGGUUUGACAAGCAAGGUUAUGUAAACUUUCGUGUGUUAUAGAAUGCAGAGGAUUUCAGUAUAGUAAUUGAUGUUGAAUGCUUGACUUCACUGCUUGUAGGGACUAUUUCAAAUAAUGAUAAUUAAUCUUUAGGCGACUCAAGUGUUAGAGCAACAUUUUUGCCCUUUGAGUUAAAGGAGACUUUUCCCCACGUAGCAACAGUUCAGUAAGUGAAAGCAUUCAGUGUGUGGUGUAAAAAGUUGCUUACUUUAAAAACUUUGCCAUUUAAUAAACCAAGAAAAAAAUGAACUUCUCUGAGUUUUUAAAACUCACUUGGUAAUUCCUCUCCCCACCCCUCCAAAUUUUAUUUUACUACACUUAUUUGUGUAAGCCCACCUGCUCAUGCUGCCAAAUGCUGUAGAGGUACCAAAUCUAGAGCCAUUAUGUAAGACAGGGACCAUUUUCCAGUUUCUGAAUUAAUCAUUCAACCUGGAGAUUUUGCUUCCUUGGAAAACUUUGCACUUGUUUUGUUGUGUGGCCAGGACAGAAAUUGUGUGAUGGCUCAGUUUACUUCUAUAUGGGGAUCAUAAAGAGCAUCAAGAUGUGUCAUGGUCUAUCCAUGUCUGGAAUAUGGCUCUCUCACGUAUCUGGAACCUAGCCAAGAACAAGGAAAGGGGCAGAAAUGCCCACUCAGCAAUCAGAACAGAGGACAGAAAAUGUGGGAGACUACUUCAAACCCUUUCUCAGAACAUACUUACUUUAGACAACAAUCCUAACAUUUUUUUUAAUGUGAAAAAUAAUCCAUAGCAUAUUAGGGGUAGCACCUUUAGAAUGGGAGGAGGGGCUGCUCUAGCCAGCAGUGCAAGGUGACCCCAGACAGCUUGGCAACCGGGAAAGAGAUAGAAACAUUCUAACUUUAGACACAAGAAUUGGGAGCAGAAGCUCUAAAGUUUGGGAAUGUGAGGAUAGGAGCCCUCAACUGAUCUUGCAGGCAUUACUCUGUAAUAAUGUAAAUCAAUGAUUACCGUUUACCAUGAAUGAGAGUGAACUACCAAAAAGGGUACGUUUUUAAAUACACUCUUUGAGAAGAGAGGGAAAUAGGCCAUAAACUUUGACUAUAUUGGCAUUCAAGAUAAUUAACCUCCAAGGCGGUUUUGGUGUGUAAAGCUCUUACCCAUUCAGAAAACUAGGCUGUGUAGAAUGACUCAUUCAUUGGCUGGCUGAGGUUUCCUAUACCAAAAGCAUCAUGUAUCACUUACUUUACUUUGUAAUCAUCAAUUAAAAAACACAUAUUUCUUCUGGUGUUGAGAGAUUUUUAAACCUUGGUGAAUGGGAACCAAAUUCAUAUCUGAGGCAUGAUCUCAGCAUAAUAAAAAAAUUAAUUAGUCAUAGUAUGAACUUGGCUCUGUUUUCUCCAGGACUGACUUUAAAUAGAGAGAGAUAAUUUUUCACAUUAAACAUGGUUUGUUUGAGAUCUGUGGGAUGUAUUUUGAUACUAACAUUUUAGUCUCUUAAAUUUAGCAUUUAUUGAGAAUUUAGUGGUUCACUGGUUUAUCCUUUGCCUCAGGUUCAUGGUCAUCUGAGAUCCAAAAAAAUGGUUGAGUCAAUCCCUAUGGGUGUGUGUGUGUGUGCGUGUGUGUGUGUGUAUGUGUGUGUUUCCCUCUAGAUUUGGUCAAUGGGUAUUGCUAAUGGUCAGCUUUCUAAGUAGAGGCUGAUUUCCAGAACCCUCAAAUCCUAGAUUAGUGCACUUUAGCCACCAGCCCAGAUUAACCUUGAGACUUCUGGCCAGUCUCAGUUUGUAGGUUAGUGUUUCUGAGGCUAAUAGGUCCUUUGAUGCAUAAAAAUGGCAAAAAUGGAACCCACUGACUUUAUUUGCAGUUUCCUAAAGAGAAAUAGGUUGUGUGGCAUUGUUUGUUCAUGACUUUUGUCAUUUGGACUAGAAAUAUGUUUUGCAAUGGAAACAGUGUAACAAAUGAAGGUUCACAAGUACGAUCCAUAAACACAAAACAGUGCAUACUUUCUGGGGCAAUUGUAUAUGUUUGUAGUAAAUAAAUGGCAAAAAGAUUGUUGCUUUACUUAUAAUUUAAAUAUAAGAGAAAAGAUUAUCUGAAAUGGCAGUGCUUGAGACAGAGACAAUUGUGGAAAUUGAAAAAGGACCUCUGUACAUAUUUACUUUCAUUAGAGGGUGAAGAUGAUGAUUCUGUGAUUUUUAUGGUGUUUGGUUUCCAUAGUGUAGGUAUGCUGUACCCUGACUUGCUUUUUUAGAUCACAAAUGGAGUCAAAGGAAAGCAGAAGGAUCGAGAUUUUCCUGAUGAUACUGGAGAAGAUCUUGUGUGUAGUUCCUCCUUUCACUUAUUCAUUCAGCAUUCAUUUUCUGACUGCCUACUGCUCUCCUGCCCCUGUGUAAUGCAGUGGGGAACACAGAGGUACCUUACUAUAUUCCAGAGCUUGGUCCAUAGAUACCCAGUGUUGAGUAAAUGACUAAUACAGUAUCACAGGUGCUGAAGCAUAGAUAUGGGAAUAAAAAGGGGUGGAGGGAGGGCUUCUGGGAGCAUUGUGAACCUAGCAGCUAAUUGUCUGGGGGAGUCAGAGAACAUUUUACUGGGGAGGAGAUAUGUUUGAGUUGAAUUUUGAAAGGUAAAUAGGAGUUGGUUCAAUAUGUCCAAAGGAUUGUAGAGAGUAGGCUUGAAGGCAUUUUUCUUUUUUUUAUUUUGAAGAUUUUAUUUAUUUAUCUGAGAGAGAGAGAGAGCACAAGUAGGCAAAGAGGCAGUCAGAGGGAGAGGGAGAAGCAGGCUCUCCACUAAGCAGGGAGCCCAACGUGGGACUCGAUCCCAGGACAGGACCCUGGGAUCAUGACCUGAGCCGAAGGCAGACGCUUAAUCAACUGAGCCACCCAGACGCUCCAUGAAGGCAUUUUUCAAGCAGAAGGGAUAGCUUUGAUAAAAAUGUUGCCUUGUUAAAGGGUCUGUGCAGGAAAUAGUGAGUUCAGAGUGGCUAGAAGAGUACAGUGAGUUCAGAGUGGCUAGAAGAGUACAGAAUGCUGACCUCUAAGAGGCUGAAGUUAAAACAGAAGCUGUGGGUGUGCGGGAUUUUGCCAGCUAAGGUGUUUGGACUCAGUCCUGCAGAGAUGAUAGAAAACCCAAGAAGGCUUUUAGGAAAGGAGUUAAAAGAUGGAAGGUGUGUGUGUAUGUGUGUGUGUGUGUGUAUUUGUACACUUUUGGGAAAGAGCUUCUAGUAUUUGCAUGAUCCUCUGAGAGGCAAAAAUGGGAGAAGUGAGGUAAAGUUUGGUUCAUUUCAGUUUCCAUUUUGGUCACGUGGUGGCAUCAUCAGCUCCGGGCAGCUUUGUUGCUCUCAGCACUGAUCUGUGGGGGAGAAGAAAGGAUUGAUGUGGAGAAGAAAAGAAGGUAUUGUCCAGAUGACAGGAACUCUUCUAUUCUAAAGGAUUAUCAAGAAGAGAGUGGAGAUGACUUGACCCCCUGAAAAGAUACAAGUCUGCCUCACUCCAUCUUCUGCACGUCAGCUUUCUUCCAUUCUUCAUCAUGUUGGGUCCUAAAAAAAUUCAGUCGUGGCCCACUGUUCCUACGUAACUUGUCAACACUUUUUUUCCCUUCAGUUGGUAAAUGCGAAAAGCAGAAGUCAUUUUGUUGAACAAAAUGUAUAAGGACUUUAUAGCUGAAGUACUUUCCACUUAAGGUGUCAUUUUCUGUAGGUCAGUCCAGCAUGACGGAUGGCAGGUCAUGCACAUUUAUGCCCUCUGUUGUGAAGAACUUGGAUUUGGUUGUUUAGCUUGGGUGCUCAAGGGCUUCAGCAACUGAGUAUGUGUUAUAAACAGGUCCCGUGAAAGUGAGUAAGAGGCAGACAAACUUAACAGCAAUCCAGUUGGUUUGUUUACGUUUCAAUAAACAAAGCAGGGUGAAAUGAGGGUCACAAGGACUUGAGAAGUAGCCAGAAACUUCCCAGUAUAUCCUGCACAGGUGUGAAUCUAAAGAGAAGUGUGACAACACCAGAAAAUACCUCUCUUCCUUGAUCCGAAGAGAAAUUUGGAGGUUUGCAUCUCUGAGUGAACGGCUCUAUAUAACUCACCUGCUAGGAAAGGUGUGGCGCUCUCUUUCUUUUUUAAAUACAGCUAUUGCUUUGAGUUUUAGCCGGUUCCUUCCUUUCCCUUCCUCCUAAUCAUUCCUUCCAAGGCCUUCCUGAGUUCCACCAGUUCUCAUAGAUUAGGAUGCAGAAUCAGAUGUCUCCUCUGAGCUAUUUUUUGAUUCUGUGGAAGCUGCCUGAGGCAGGAAUCUCCCAAAGAAGGCAGAACUUGCAGAAUGAGAGCCGAGCUUUCCCUCUCAGUGAGCUAGUCCGAGGCCAGGGCCUUGUUCUGAAGCCUGUAUUCCAAAAGCUGGCGUAGGCUUUGGGACGCAAUCGCUUGCUUUUAUGCAGGAGCUCGUGACUCUGUGGGAUUCCUAAGCUAGUUGUAGGGAUUUGCUCCCACUCCACAUAGCAACAUUGUAAUACAGUUUUCCUCAUCUUGGUUUACUAGGGAAAAAAAAAUCAAUCAAAUGAUUCAGUGGGUUUUUUUUACACAGUAGGCGAUACCAUCAACUGGUACCUGGCAAAGAGUACUGGGUAAGAAAUCGUGGUACCCAGUUCCUCAUGACAUAUUCAUUCACCAACUACCCGAGCAGAGAGGGAGGUCCAUGUCAAAAGGUGAGUAGGUGUAAUGAUUCUUCUCAAGGAACUCACACUUGAGUUGUGGAGGUAAAACAAACAUCAAUAUAUAUAAUGGUUAGACCAUAACCAGUUACUGAAUACCGGGGUUCCCACGAGAGAACAGACCUGGAGCUGAAUGGAAGGGAGAGAACAGGAUGGGCUGGGUAGUGCAAGAAAUUAUGAGUGGAAGGAGUAAACCUGAAUGUGUCUUUUGAAUAAGCGCUUUAAGGCUCACACACUCCUUGCUUUUGUAGUAUCUCUAACGCAGUUUUAUUAAGGAAACCACACAUAUAGGGGGAUUCUGUGCUUGAGCCAUGAAAGGGGCAGGCUUCCUGGGCCUUUGAAGGAUGAGUAUGAGUACAUUAGAGGUAGGGGAGCAUGAUGCCCGUUGUUCAUCAGGAAUGAAUUCCUGGAUGGAAGGAGUAAUCCAAAUACUUCUGUGAUUUCUAACAUUUAAAGGUAGGAAAAUGAAACACCUGCUCAGCUAAUAUUUUUAUCCCUAAAAUUACCCAUAAAAUUAUGAGACUUAGUAGUAGUUCUCUUGGCUCCUCCUAGCAGGAUACUUUUAUAUGUUACUUGGAUCAGAACACCUGUUCUUUUGAACAGGUGUAGGAAGAGACAAAAGUGACUUGGACUAGUUCUCAAAAUAUAAUGUGCUCACAAAUGGCUUGGGGAUCUUUUUAAACAGAAAGCUCUGAUUGAGGAGGUCUGUGUUUGGGAUAAGGCCCAAGGUGAUGGCUGCAGCUGCUUCAGGUCUGUGGACCACUCUUUGAGUGGGAAGAUCGUAGACUUAUUAGAGGUGGAAGGUUAUUUAGAGGUAAUUGGUGCACUGGCAUUCAAGUGUUAUGGAUGUGUAUCAGAAGAUUUUUGUUUGCUACAAAUGAAACUUCACAUGAAAGCUUAUGGGAAGUGGAUGCCCCUCCCCUUUCCCACCUCCAACCCUAACUCCAAGGAAAGCAGUUUGAAGAUCAUCUCUGUCCAAGCACUGUGAUUUCUUCCCCUGGCUCAGAGGCAUUCGAACCAUCUCUUCCAGCCCGAGAUGAGUCUGGGUUUGAGGAAAGCAGCGCUGGGCUCUGUUGUAGCAUUUCCCUGAGCUUUUUUGAGGUGCCCCUGCUGGAAUUUCUAGGCAUUCUAAUGAUCAGUGUCCCAUGGAAAAUGAGGCUCCAGGAGAGAUUCGUUUUUUGCUGAUGCUAUGGGCUGUAAAGUGGAGCUGGAGAGAGCAGGAGUGUUAAUUCCAGAGACCGGAUGGGAGAGAUCUCUUCCUACUUCCCCAGCGCUCUCCCAUACAGCACAAUCAUCGGAAUUUCUGAGGCAGCUCAUCCUGAUCUGUCAGUAGAAGUCAAGUGUUUGUGUGUGCAGCAUAAAUACAUAGAGAACAUUGACUUUCAUUGUAUACAUUUCUGUGUGAGGAUGUGCGCCCAAUAUGUGAUGGAAAUGUGUGACUAAAAUGGUAAUGCUGAACCCUCCCGAAUUUCUGAAGAGCCGUAAAGGAAUAGGGGAAUCAGGACAACCUCGAGAAAUAACAUUGUCUCUGUUUGUAAAAGAAGAAAGCAGGGAGAAAGUAGGUUCUGUGCAGGGUCCUGUGAAGUUAACACUAAUCUGGUGUCAGAUACCAGAAGAGUAAUUGAAACUUGAUUUGAGAGCCUUUGGAUGAGGAAAUAGGAAGUGGCCUUGUUUUCCUAAGAAGGGAAAGAAUGGGUCGUGGAGAACGAAUGUCAUUUCCUUUUUGAUGGGAGAAGGGGAAAGGAAUCGAGAUAGCAUAGAAGAGACUUCUAUGUUCUGGGCAGAUCACAGGAAUUCUGGUAGCCAUCCCCUAUCUGAAUUUUAGCACAGCCUUUGGCAAAUCCCCUUGUUUCCUGCUGAAUAAAAUGGAGACGUGGAGGCUGGAUCAGAGUCUAGCUAUGUGCCUUCGAGUGGCUUCACUGACAGGCAGGCCUCGCUCCGGCCUCUGUCAGCCUUAAGGGGGGACUCUGGUGCUCUUCCUCAGAGCUCACAUGUUCUAGCUACCUCAUUAUUCGUGUUGACGUGUGACUUAGCCUGGGGUCCCCAAGAAAGCAGAGCCCUAGGCAGGGGCUGGUGUUCAGGUAGUUUAUGGAGAGCACUGAUCCCGGGGACAGGAGAGGGUACUGCAGAGAGAAACGGAAGGAAGGAAAGCCAACACAGGAUUACGUUAUCCACCUUCACCGCCACUGAGCGUGCCUCAGAAGGGAUAGACAGGCGGCAUUUAUCCAUGGCUCCGCUCUCCCCUUGGUCAAGGGCUGCCCCAGGGUACCAUGUUUCUGCACUACCCGGUUUGCACGUUGUGAGUGCUCAGCCUUGUCCAGGGUCCCGCACUGUGGUGUCAGAGAAGCCACAAGGCAGAAAGCUAGAGAGAAGUGGUACAACAGGCACGGUGGUGUCAGGUUAUACCUGCCCAAGGCUGGUGGCUACAGCCAGGACUAGAGUGUAAACCCUGCUGAGAAGGUGCAGUUCUCAAAUGCACAGAUGAACCUCGGGGGAUAGCUGGGGGCCUGAUGACAGAUUCGUGAGCCACAUCCUUGAAUAUAACAGGAUGACUGUUAAAUCGCCGUAAGCAGAGCCCCUACAUUUGUAUCCCCUAGACCCCAGCUGGAAGGGGCACGGCCCCGCAGUAGCGUGCAGGAAAAGGACUUCUGGCUUUUAGUAGACUUAGAGUUUAGAAGGAAUAAUGACAUGAUGCGGUUGCCCCCAAAGCCACUAGACCUUUAAUAAUACAUUAUAUGUAUAAUAUAGUAUAUAAUAAUAUUGUCUUCAGAAAUAGGUCUUCUCUGCCGGCCAGGCUGCCCCUUGAGUCCGGGGAGCAGUUCUGGUGCACACUUUGAGGGAGAUGGACAGGUGAGGAUGUGGCCAGAGGAAAGAGGAUGGUGGGGCCCUUGAAGAACCAGGGGAACAUUUAGGCUGGAGAAAAAGGUACGCAGAGAACGUGACAGCUGUCAUUGGUCCCUUGAAAAUCUGGCUUGGAGUUGAGGGCUUUAAUUCCGUAUCUGUGUAGAGGAUAGUAUAUAGAAGCUGAAGUUCCUUUAGCUCAAAGUAAAGAAGAACUUUAUGAUGGUUAGAGCUCCCAGACAGUGGCUUAAGCUGCCAUAGGAGGCAGUGGCUGGGCUUUCACCAGGGGUGGGCGAGCAUUCAGAACAGUGCUGGGCACCGAAUAAUGCUUCUCAAUAAGACCGGCUCCUGGUUACCGAGUGCCUGCACAUUACUGAAUUCUUUGCAUCCAUUAUCCCAUGUAUGCGUCCCAACAACCCUAUGAAAUGAGAUAGGAACUGUCAUUAUUCCAUUGGUCCUAGAGGAGACAAGCAGUCUGACUUCCAGACUAUUCCACGUGCUUCCUCACUGUAGGGACCCUGUGGGUUUCUUUAAAAAAAGAAACUGUGACCUCUUCGAUGAUCUCCAAAGUCUCUUCUAACCUUAUUCUAUGGCUUAGGUGAAUCAGGAAUAAAGAUAAGAAAACAAAGCUGUUGGGACCAGAGGAGAAAGGGAGAGAGAUAAUGAGUGAAUGAAGAAGGGUGGUCUUAAAAGUCUUCUUCAGAUUCUUUCCGGUGGAUUCCUUCUCUACCUCUUGGCCUGUUGGUGCCCCCGAUUUGUGGCUUUUGUUUAAGAAAUACGUAGAGUGAUUUUCUCUUCUUUUUUGAAGUAGGCAGUGAGGUGAGGUUGGAUCACCAUGAUGAGUAGGGCCACCCUGUUUAAGAAAAGAUGUAACGAACUGAAUUGAUCUCGUUUCUUUAGAGUCAGACAAGAACAGUGAUAAAGCCCUGAGAGUGUCAGUUAUUUAUUAGCAAAGGUAACUCAUAAUUGCGAUCUCUAUCUCCAAAUCUUUUUUUGUUUUUUUCUGUGUGGUUCUAAAAGUGACCAUACGAUAUAUUCUUUGUAGGGUAAUAGCUACCUUUUCUUUCUUUUAAAAAAUUUUUAAAAAGACUUUAUUUAUUUGAGAGAGAGAGAGGUUGAGAGAACAAGUGGGAGGAGGGACAGAGGGAAGAGCUGGCUCUCUGCUAAGCAGGGAGCCUGAUGCGGGGCUCAGUCCCAGGACCCUGAGAUCACGACCUGAGCUGAAGGCAGAGCUUAACUGACUGAGCCACCUGGCGCCCCUCUUUCUUUUUUUAAAAAGCACUUUCUAUGUGUCGGGCACUGUGCAGAUAGCUACACAUAUACACAACUGUUAUCUCCAGUUAUUGAACAGAUGAAUGAUACAAAGAAGCAGAACUAAUGGUUGUAAAAAUUAAAUAUACUAUAUUGUAGUAAUUAGAUAAUGUACUUAUGACCCAGAGUUUAGCACAUAGUAAGUGCUUAUUAACUGGUUUCAAAAUGUAAAUCCACAAAGCAGAUCUUAUCUCCAUUUUCUGGAUGAGGGAGCUUAGGUUGAGAGCGGUUGGAAAGGUAACUAAGGUCCCUGAGUUGUUUCUGAUCCAAAAGCCUGUAUUGAGUCCUCACCACCACCUGAAUGCUGCAGGGCUCUUCCAGUUCUUAGGUAAAUAAAAAUGUUGGCGGUUAAAUGAAAAGUACGUAAGGAUGUUUAAUGAUAAUUUUAAUAGGUUUCUCUCUGACAUUUUAGAAAUCUAAUCUUGGAAGAAUUCUUUUUGGCUUGUCCAUUUUAAUCCUAUGUAGCUUGAUAUGGCUUGGCCUCUUCUUUCCAUUGGCUUUUUUUUUUUUUUUUAAUUAGUGAAAAGCAUCGAUUCAUACAUUUCCCUUUCUUUAAGGAAGACUUGUGGAACGGAGGCUUCUGCCGCCUGUGCAUGAACGGGCAGGACUUGGGGAGGGAAACAGGCUCUGCCGGCUGCGGAGAGGAAAGAAUGAGGAAUGUGUUAUCUAAUAGCUCAUGGCAUCCUUGACGUUGACAAACUAGCAAUUGAUGAGCUGGAUCAGGAUCUCCUUAGGAUCUGGAAUUGGGCAAAGCACCAACUUGAGGGCUCUAAGUUAAAACAAGCUCUCCCAUUGUUUGUAAAUGGUAGAAAAUUUCUGAAGAUUAGUUUAGGAAAACAUAUGUUAACAGUUGGUAUAAGAGUGAAUCCUGCUUAUUUCAUUUUCUAAUAGCCUGAAAUUCAGGAGGUGGGACAGACUUUAUCUAUGGCAGCCCCUCUGUUGAAGAUUUGGAAAGACUGAGGUCAGCUGGGGGUACCUGCCAGUGGGGAAGGUCUGCUGUUACCCUCGGUCACUUUCCGACCGUCGAUGACCUAGACCUCGGUAUCGUGCCAUUUUCCUGUGGCUGCCACGGUCACCCCAUUCAAGGAUUAUUUGAUGCUCUCUUUACCUGAGUGUCAAAGGCUAUUCAUCAGGUUGGUCUCCUCGAAGUCAUGUCCAUAACCCCCUCCUUUUCGUUUCUUUACUCACAGUAAAGCACAGAUUUGUUUUUAUUGGAAGAUGGCUGGUAUUCGUAUUUUGAAAUACCAAAGAGUUACAGUGUAGAAAGGUUUGGCUUUAUUUUAGCAUCAUCACAGUUCCAUAACGUCCUCUUGGGGAAUCUGACUUGGCCACUCUGGAGUCACUCUAAAUCCCAGCAGAAAGCUAAGUGUUGUUCAUGACUGUCCCCAUGCCUACGGGAGGGAUUUCAUUCACUGGUUGGUGAAGCGUUCCUUUGCAUGGUGCUGUGGUGGACCAAGCACAACUCCUCCUGAGGGUGUCCCCCGACCCCUUACGGCUUGCUGGCACCCUGCGGGUACCUCUUUUACCCCACCAGUCACAGGGGGUUGCCAUCAUCCACCUUCCAGGCUAGGCUGCGUCUUCCUCACUUUCCUCCGCCAGCACUUAAUAGUGUGCAUGGCACCUAGGUGGUCUCAGUAUGUGUUUGUUGAAAGAAUGGUGAAUGAGUACAAAGAAAUUGAACUCCUAGCCCUAGUCCACAAGGGGUUUACAUCUUGGUUGUGAGAAAAACCUAACUGCAAAAAGAUUUAAUCAUAAAGUAGGACGUGAUGAUAAUCCCAGUGCUGUUACCAAGAGGUAUGUGAUGAAGACCAGAGGAGAUGAGAGAAAUAGAUGCUGUCACUUUUCAGUCUGUUACAGAAGCCCCGGGUCGGGGUCUUGGCCUCCUUAUUUAGAAGUGUGUCACCUUGUGAACAUUAUUUAAAUUUGGAACUUCCGUUUCCUCAUCUGUGAAUGGAGUUGACCCUCUGAAAGUCACAGGGUUACUACCAGGACGAAGUGGGAUUAUACAUGCAGAUAGGACUUUGUAAUCUGCAUCACAUUAUACAAAUGCAGGCUGGCAUUAUUCUCAAAGGACUCACUGAAACAGUGGGGUACAAAAUUCAGGAAUGUGAGUGUUUAAAAGGUCUAGGGAGAGAUAAGCAUGGCUUCUUUUUCCAGAGCUUUCGCUCACUAGCAAGAUUCUCUUGGUGAACACUGGCCACCUCUGGGCCUGGAAAAACGCCUGACUCUGAUGAUUCGGUCAGGAGUUGGAGCCUCUGACCCGCAGUCCCCACAGCCUGGCCUGGCUGUAACUUGUCCAAGUUCCGUUUGUGUCCACUUUCAUCCUUUUAAUUGAUUAGAUUAUUGGGUGCAUUCUUUAUGAGUAUGAAGGUCUCAGAUGUCAGGGCUAAAGAAUGUCUUUUGGGGAAAACUACCUAAAAUGCUGUGUUGUGACCAUUGCACUUCCGUCUGCAGAUGUCACAGUAUGAGUGUUCAUGAAGUCAUUGAAGGCAUAGGGACUCUAUGCAUAAAUUGGCAGGUCUGGAUUCUUUAAAAAUUUGUGAUAAUUACGGUUUGGGUUUUGUUUUGUUUUGUUUUAUUAUUAAAGAAGUGACUCCUCAUAAAAGUUGUUAUCCAACUUAAAACCAUUUAGUGGGAAACCUUUGCGUAUUUUUGUAUACCUCAGCUAAACAAGAAAAUAAUUAUGCUUGGCUUUUUAUUCUUUAAUAUUACUUCCGCCUUUACCUGUUGCCAAACAAGUGUUAGUUGGAAAAGGAGAAUGGUUUCUUGUCAUUUGUUUUUCACAAAACCUCCCUAUUCUCACAUUUCCUUUUUGUGGCAGAAUGAGCUGUGAUAGCACAUUUUCCGGAUUACUGUGGUACUUGCAGAUGAUCUGAGCACAGUUAAAAUAUCGAAAUUGUGAGCUGUAAGGUCGAACUUGAACCUCCUAUGUGAUUCUGAUAUUUACGCUGCGGGUGGAUUACAUGGAAAUAAUUGUGGUGUGUAUAUUUGAGUUCAUGGUAUUGUAGACAGAAGUAAUUUGGAGGUGAAUCGCUGCUGUUGGUUUUCUUUCAGACUUUCCCCUCUUCUCAUUGAGAGAGGUGAGACUUGCAGAGGUAAAACAGGAAAUGCUUGGAUAUUUUGUUGAACUCCUCGAGAGUUAAAAAAGCAAGUGGUGUUCAUCAGCUAUGGUUUGGUCCUUGGGUGGAGUGGAUAUGGGUGUGUGAAGGCAAGUGAAGGAGGUGCCCCAUGGUCCCCGGUGCUCCCACACCCCCUCUACACACCACCAGCUCAACACCUAGCAUGCUGGGUUGCAAUUGCUGUGUUAGCUGAGGAACUGUUCCAGAGUAAAGGAAACCUACAGAGAGGGGACAGCUAAGUGCAACAUGGGGUUCUGGAUUGGAGCCUAGAUUGGGAAAAAAAACAUUGCCAUAAAGGAUAGUGGGACAAUUGGUGAAAUUUGAAUGUGGACUCUAUCCAUUAUAGAGGAUAAUGGGGAUAAUAUACAAUUUAAAAUUUCCUUAAUAAAACUAUACCUUGGUCACAUCAGAAGAUGUCCUUAUUAUUAGGAGAUGCAUACUGAAGUCUUUUGGGUUAAAGGAACCUGAUGUCUGCAACUCACUCUCAAAGAGUUACAUGUAAGGUGACAAAGAUGAAAAAUUAGUGAAUCCUGGUGAAAUGCAUAGGAGAGUAGAUUUUUUAAAAUAAAAAGUUCAAAAUGUUUACCUUUUUAUAUCAAUAUCCUGCACUGGAACAUUGGCUCCCAGAGGGAAAGGCCUGUGUUUGAAGACCUUUGUGUAGGCUGCCAGAUAAAAUACAGGAUGUCCAGUUAGUUAACUUUGAAUUGCAGAUACCCUAUGAAUCAUGGGGGCAUACUUAGAGCACGUAUAGUGCUAAACAACUCUUUGUGGUGGAUCUGCAAUUCAAAAUUAACUGGGGGUCCUGUAUUUUUAUUUGCUUGCAUCCGGCAACUCUGCCCUAAACGAGCAUUGCCCCUAGUUCCAGCAGGGCGACCUAGGAGGUGCUCCUCUGUUCGGGGAAUGAAUGACGCGUCUUUUCAGAAUUCUGGUUUGUGGCUCCUAUUGGAUAAAACCCAUUGUGUCUGAGCAUGGAGCUGGGAUUUAACCUGUUCUUGGACCUGAUCUCCUCCUUGUCCUUCUCUCUUUGAAUAAUCUUUUCUCUUGGAGCUGCUUCACGCUUUCUCCAUUUCUCUGUCGGUGGUGGAGUCAGCUGGGUUACAUUUUAUACUAAGUUACCCACCUCCUGACACUCCUGACAGUUUUAAGAUCUUCUCCUAACACACUUGAGUAGAAUGGAUACUGGAAUCUAUUUUGACAGCUGUUGGAAAUCCAGGCUGUUGCUACAGCAGGUUAAGGAGGUUAUUUGUAACACUGAUAUUAUUCAGUGAACUUUUUGAAAAGAGGUGCAUGCUGCUCGGGCAAAUAGUAUUUUAUAGAAUUUUAAAUGAUUAUUAUGUUCACAGUUAAAUUAUCAAAUACAAUGGUCUUAGAAAUUAUACGCUUCGUAAUAUUUUCCAUUAAUUUUCCUAGUAAUAGUGUAUUACAAUGCUCUCGAUUACCAGUGCCCCUUAAAAUGCAGAUGUGGAGUCUUUAAAUACAGCUAGUUUAUUGCCAACUGUCCCAUUGAUAACCUUCCCCUUCAAAGCGACCUUUGAGCAAUUUCAUAAAGAAUGAAUAUUUAUAGUAUUUUGUUGUUGAGCUGCUGAAAGAGGGGUCUAUGCAAGUAACAGGUGGCUUCCGUUAGCCUGCUUUCACUGAAAUGUGAUUCAAAUAAAGCACAGCAUUAUUUUACCAUCGGAAUUGUGAUUAAGUGCUAGACUGACUUCAUCUUCGGCAAAUUGUAUUUCAGUGUUGAGGUUUGGGUUUAGGGUGGGGUGUCUUGCAUAUGCGGGAGUUGGAAAGCUUACAGAUAAGACAUAGCAGCUGAGGGAUAAAACAUCCAGGGUCUUCUUUAUGCAGCAGAGGAAUUUUUUUCAGAGGAACUGUUCUACUGGGCUUUAGGCUUAAGGGCAACUGUUCAGAUUAACCCUCUAGACUUGAGUUUUCUUUUAUCUCGGGUCCAAAGCACUGAAGAAGUCUCUGUCAAAUUAAUGAUCAGUACAGUACUUAGCACGUAGUGGGCACUAAAAGUAAAAUUUGUUCGAUGGAAUGAACUAGAUAAUUAUGUUUGGGUUAUUAUUUAACUUUUAAUAUGAUUUAAUUACUCGAAAUAGAAGAUCUUUCCAUUACUGCCCUUUACCCAGUUGCUUGGCAACACAAUUGUUAACAUGUUUUCUGAUUAAAAUAAAUAUCCCAAGCUAAGUUUAUACUAGAUCAGAUUAUAAUAUAGAGAAUUAGAAGCAUUAAAUGGAUGAGAUGGAAUUUGACACAAAAGCUAUUACUGAGAAGUCUAUUUUAUUAAGUGUACUUUCUCCUGUGUCUGAAAAGAUUUAUCAAAUUGUGCAAAUCAGAUCCUAGCAAAUUGGGUAGAAGAGUUCUUAAAAAGACAACAUUCUUGGAAGAAUUGCGUUUCUAUGACAGAAAAAUUGAAAAAGGGAGAAAAUCACAUAAAUAGCACCUAUGAUCCUGUUUUUCCUUUUAUUGAAUUCAUUUCGUCUUCUUUCCUAGCACAAAUACACAAAUAAAUUUGUUUACACACAUACACAAAAUUAGGACCACAUGAACAUAUUGCAGUAUCUAUGUGUUUAUGUGCUGUUCUGUGAAAAAAUCUAUUUAAACUAUCUGUUUAAACUGAAUAUGUCAUUCGUAUAUUACUGCAUCACCAUGGAUUUUCUCACAACAAUAUUUUUAGUGACUGUAUAGCAUUUCACGGUAUGGUUGUGCCUUCCAUGGUCAUUUAGGUUAUUUCCAGUUGCUUGCAAUUCUGUGAUAAACAUCCUUUAAAACAUGGUUAUUACUUUGCAUCUCUGCCUAUAAGUGCAAUUUCUGGUCACACACUCUUAAAAUUUUGUAUGUAGUGUGUUAACCAUAUCAUCCUUCUGAAAGUUUGGCCCAAUGAACGUUCCUAUGAACAUUUAAGUACUGACUUCCGUACACUUUUUUCUACAAUGGCUAUCACUAAAAACAAACAAAAGACAUCUUUUUGAUAGGCUCUUAUUAUUUUCAGGUGCAUUUCUUUGAUGGUACUUUUCUCUAUAUUUAUGGUCCAGUUGUGGUUUUUAUUCUCUGUCUCCUUUUCCUUGGGGGCAUCUGUUUUUACUUUCUAAUUUAUGAACACUCUUUCUUAUAUAUGUUUUUUUUCCUUUCCAUUCUUAUAGUGUGACUUUGCUGGGAAGUGUUAAAUUUUGAUGCAGCCUGUUGGUAGGAAAACGAUUUUUGAGAGCAAGUGAUAUUUCUAUCAAAAGCUUAUUUUUCUCCCCCUGUGCGGUGUCAUUUAGUUUUCCAGAAGGAAGGAAGAAGUAACUGCUCAGUUUUACUUUAAUCCUCUCAGGAAGGUUUUAAGUUAUUAAAAUGUAUACAGCUUAUAUAUUAAGAAUCAAGACAUUUCUGUAUUUGCAUUGUCUGAACAGCAUGUCAAAGAGCUCAAAUUAGUACUUUAUCCUGGAAAGUUCUCAUUUUAGAGUUUGGUCUGUUUUAUGCCAACUUAAGACACAUUAGAGGUGGGACAAAGGUUAAAAUGGAUCAAUGAUUUAUUGUGUGUGAAAUUUUCUAAAGACAGACUAAUUUAUGUACUCAUCUAUCAGGAAUGCCUACAGAUGUAUAGAAACAAUGACAGCUACGGGCCUAUCAAAACUGAUGGUUUUCUGAUUCAUAGAGAGACCUGCUGGGUCAAAAAGCCUCAUUUCUUCACUCCAAUGUGUGGGAAACUUAUAGUCAUAUGUAGUAUGGAUACUUAUGUUGGAUUUUCCAUGUAGAUAUUUUCCUGGUCUAUUCUGCAUCAAACUUAUUUUACCAAUUUAAGUAGCAAGACUCAACUGUAAGCAAAUUUAUUUGAGGCCAAAUGAUAUUAACAUCAAUUAGAGCCAGUGAUUCUCAGUAUGGGAAGGACAUAUGUCUUUCCAGGCGGUAAUAAGGUGGUUUGUGUCAUUCAUUUAUUCAAAAUUUUUAUUUUGUGUCUAUUCAGAACUAUGUUUUUUAUGGGAAGGAACACAUACCAUGUUAGAAGAUGAAGAUACAGCUGUAUGCAAGGCAUAGCAUUUCCCUUCAUUUGAAAACAAAUUCCAUUCCUUUGAUUUUGUUUUAAUCAUGAUAUAUCUUAACUUCAGUUUUCAAAUAAGACAGGAGUUCCCUCUGAUUGCUCUUUCCCUAGAUGUCUGCACAAAUCACUUCUUUACAUCCUUCGGGUCUUUAUAUUCUCCUCAGAGAAGCCUUUCUAACCACCUUCUUUAAACCCCUUACCCUGAUUUACUUAAGGCAUCAUGUUCAUCACUGUAAGAUGUAUUACAUUACUUAUCUGUUUGUCAUCCGAACGCCCCCCCCACUAGAAUGUAAAGCCCAUGAAAGAAGGGUGUUGUUAGUUUUGUUGACUUUCUUUCCCCAGCAUCAGAAAGAGAACAUCAAAUAUUGCAGGCAUGCAAAUAAGUAUUUGUUGAAUGAAUUAUUUCACUGAAUAUUUCCGUGCCUGUGGUGUGGUUGACACUGUGGGUGGUGGAAAGUGCUAUGACGAAAAAUAAAGCAGGUUAAGGAGACAGAGAGUUCUUAAAAAUGUCUAUUUGAAAAGGGCCUGGGUUAUAAAAGGUGGGAAGACACGGGUAAGGCCAGUUUAUCUUCCCUUUUCUUUCUCCUGAGUGUCUUUGAGUCGUCCCCUUUCCUCUCUCCUAGCCACAUCAUGGCCACUCCGUCAGUCCUGCUGAGUCUCUCGAAGGAGUCACACCACAUUCUUUUCAUGCCUCACUCCAAGCUGACCUUCCCACUUGAAUGGCAUGAAAACCCAAAUGUGGUCAACUCUUGAACAUUGUACUUCCCAGACUCCCAGGCGACAGGGUUUGUAGUAGCUAGCUCCUUCCGGAAGUCACCAAAGGCUACCUUAGGGGUUGAUAGAUAGUCAAGUGUUAGUAGGCAUUCACAGAUACUUUUAUUACAGUUUUCAUUUUCUGUUCACAUGAUUCUGAACUUAAUUUCUUUGACAGAUGCAUCGUAGAUGCAUCUCUUUCACUCGGUUGUGUAACUUGUCAUUCAAAUCUUCCAAGAUCUCAGUUUCUUUUUUUUUUUUUAAAGAUUUUAUUUAUUUAUUUGAGAGAGAGAGAACAAGAGAGAGCACAUGAGAGGGGGGAGGGUCAGAGGGAGAAGCAGACUCCCUGCCGAGCAGGAAGCCUGAUGCGGGACUCGAUCCAGGGACUCCAGGAUCAUGACCUGAGCCGAAGGCAGUCGCUUAACCAACUGAGCCACCCAGGCGCCCUCAGUUAGUUUCUUUGAAAGGCAGAAGGGUAACACCCCAGAGAGAAUGGAUGAGGGGCUGUUUUUUUGGUUAUCGCCGUGACUGGAUUUUUAGCACCUGAUGAUAGGAUACCCAGCAUCCUACAAUGCAGGAGAGAGCCAUGCCCAAGAGAAAUUGUCCUGCCUAGAAUGCCAGUGGUACCCCCAGCAAGAAAUGCUGAUUCUGUCCCAGUGGUUCUCAGCAAUACUGGUUGUGGUCUCAGCGGGGUACUUCAGAAAUUUGUGGGAUGUUGUUGGUUUUCACAACAUUAAGGCGUGAUUUACUAGUGGCAUUUAAUGGGCGAUGAUGCUAGAAGCCCUGCAGUGCACAGGGCAGUCGCCCACACCGGAGAAUUGCCCCAUUGGCAUUCAGAUGUCCACCAGGCAAGAGACGUGAAAAGCCCCAUUGAUGAUUAUCAGAGCCUACAGCCAACUGUGUAAGCAAAAGGUGUUUUUUGGCACAAUUUAAGUAGAUGGAAGUGCGUAUUCUGUUUGCUUUGAGACUUUGCCAAGAGUUGCUUCCCGUGUUGGCACCAUGACCUGUGGUUUGUAAUUGGCAUAUACGUCUGCCUGUGUAGCUUUGCCUCGUGAUGGUUGCAGAGGGGCAAGGAUCUGACCACUUCGUUAUGUCUUCUAAAGAUCUCGUGCCUGAAAGUGUACAUAUCAUCAUUAUGUGUGUUACAGUUAUAAAUUAUUUUCCUUUUAUUUCUUUUUUAUAUCAUAGGUAGGCCAUAACAUUGAUUUCUUAGAAUUAUGUGUAGCUUAGAUUAUAUUAUCUGUGAUUUUCAUUACAAGAUUACAAAAGGGGCAUGGAGUCUGAUGAGGCUGAAAUCCUUCAUUCUAACCUGAUUUGGCAGCUCCAUUUCUCACUAGUCUAUAUGAACCCUGUUUCAGCCAAAAUGAUUUGCUGUGUGUUCCACAUUUUCUCUUGCCCCAUGUAUGCCUUAAACUCAAACUUACCCUCUUCCUCCAAGGUCCUUCCAUCUCCCCUUCUAUAAAUCCCACUCGUCCAUCAGAGCCCAGUCUCCGGUAGCCUAAUGAGGUCAUCAUUCUUCAACCACUAGGCUCUGUGACUUUUUUUUUUAAACUACUGUAGCACUUGUAAGAGCACCUCAUUCAACACGUGUCUUCAGCCUGGUAGCAUUACAUAUCUUUUUAUGUUGAAGUUACCUCCUCAAAUAGCUUGUAAGCUCCUUUCAGAUGGUCAACUUGAUUUGGUCUUCUUUUGAUCUCAUGCAGUGUCUAAGAAUCCAUUAUGUGUAGGCAGCUCAUUCUCCUGAGCUGUACUCUCUUGUCUUCUUUUUUUCCCCAAAUAUGAAUUCUUCCCUGUCAUUUUGCUAAUUAUAAAAGUAAAAUCUAUUCAUCGUUAAGACAUUUUUAAAUAUGGAAAAGUAAAAGAAGAAAAUAAGAAUUAUCAUUGAUCUGCUAUCCAGAGCCACGCAUUGCUAUCAUUUUAGAGCAUUUCCUUCUAGGUUGUCUUCUCUGUGUAUAUGUAUGUUUUUUUACAAAAUUAAAAUUACGUACUUUCUAUAGUUUGUAUUUUACUGUCUUCACCCAUUUAGCUUAAUGUUAUAUCAUGAGCAUUUUCCUGUGUCACUAAAUAGUUUUAGAAACUGUAUUUAUAUAAAACAUAUUUUAUGGAAAAUUUAGGCAUAAAAAUAGAAUAAUGUGAUAAAUUCCUAGAUGCCUGACGUUCAGCUUCAAUAGUUAUCAAUAGUAUGCCAUUCCGAAUAUGUAGUUUAUAAUGGAUGCAUACCGUUUCAUUGUUUGGAUGAUACAUAAUUUAUUUAACCCUUUCUCUGUUACUGAAAAUUUCAGUUUUCUGUAAUUUUAGAUGCUUAUGUUUUUGUACUUCUAGUCAUAAUUAUUAUUCUUGCUCUCUGGAGAACCUAAUUAAUUUCUUCAUUAUUAAGUAAUUCUGAUUAUUAGCAAUUUUGUAUUCUGGGAUUUUUAUUGUAUUUCAUAUCUGUGACUGGUUUCACAAUCAUUUUUCUUUUCUCCAUCCAUCAGGUAUUCUUGCAUUAGCCAGAAUGGGUCUUAAGUGAAUUACAAUAACAAGUCAUGUUUUUCUAUUCUUCUUUUAGAGGAAAGAUAAUUUUAAAAACCCAAAACUGGCAAUGUAGGAGAUGGCAUUUACUUUCUAGGUAUCUUAAGGGGCAAGCACAAGAAGGAAAGAGAAAAUGGUUUCAGGAGAAACAAUAUCUGGCAAAAUAUAAUCUUUGCCCAAUGGAAAAUUAUUUUUUAAAUGCUUAAUUUUGCUUAAGAAAUGGAUGAAAUGGUGAGCAUCUAAACAAAAGUGCACCUGAACCAAUAUGUGUAUUUCUUGAGCUGAUUUAAAUGUACAUUUUAACACGUAUAUUUGGUAUUUUUAAAACACAGCAUCUUUAUUUUUUUUUUUUUAAAGAUUUUAUUUAUUUAUUUGACAACGAGAGACACAGCGAGAGAGGGAACACAAGCAGGGGGAGUGGGAGAGGGAGAAGCAGGCUUCUUGCAGAGCAAGGAGCCCGAUGCGGGGCUCGAUCCCAGGACCCUGGGAUCAUGACCUGAGCCGAAGGCAGAUGCCCAACAACUGAGCCACCCAGGCGUCCCUAAAACACAGCAUCUUUAAAUGGAGAGUUCCAGCGUGCAGCUUCUCUUUCAUAGAGGUACUUUCUCAGGCAGUGGAGAGAGAUGCUUUCCUUAGAUAUGGCCCGUCGUGAGCCGUGGGAGGAUGAGCGAGCGGGGAAUUACAUGGACAGUGUGAUUACUCGUGCCCUUGCCCUGAUGGGAGUUCUUCUGCGGCACCUGCUGAAAUUUCUACACCAGGUCAUAUACACAAAGAUGACUCAUGUGCCUACCUACUCUGAGAAAAUGUCUUUGUUUCUUCUAUUACAAAGUAAAACAUGGUUGCUGUAAAAAAAAGAGAGAGAGAGAAUGGGUUUUCAGCGAUUUAUAGUAGAGAUGUAUAGAAAAGUGAGAGAAAGUGGAAGUAUCCCAUAAUCCACACCCCUUCCCGCUCUUGGCCGUGCUGGAUAUGCUCAUUUUGAUUCCUCUGGCCCAUAUUAGCAUAUAUUAUCUGCAUAAUCCACAGAACAAAAGUGUUACUUUUUGAAAUGCUAGUGUAAUCAGGAACUUUGAAGUAUGCAGACCACAUGCAGUUUCUCCUCAUUAGAGGUAAAAUGAUAAGCAGAAAUAACAGGACAGAAUUGGUUACAUAUGGAAAACUACAGCAGAAGGGGAAGCUUAAGAAAAGGAAGGCGUAAGAACCCAAUAAUGAAGACGGUAGAAUUUUUGCAUGUGGAAUCCCACUUUGUUCAUUCGUUAAAAAAACCUACUCUGUGCUAUGAGCUGUAUUCAGUAUUAGAGAUACAAACUUGUGAAACUUGCCCCUGUCAGCUCUUUUUGGUGUUUUGCACAUGCUUUCCCAUCCUUCUGGAAUACUUUCCUCUCCUCUAUCUGACAGCGUCUUUCUCAUCCUUCAUGUCCCAACACAAAGGUCACUUCUGAUGUCCAGCCUUGUUAGCCCUACCGACUGACUUCGCAGACCCCUCCCAGCUCACGUUUGAACACCUCUCCAAUACAGCAUUACUUAUUGUCCUAUAAGUACACAAUAGUACAAAUGUUGAAUUCCUCUCAUAUAUUCUUGGCUGUAGGGUCAAAAUGAAUACAUAGUACGUGCUCAAUAUCAAUAGAUAGAUAGAUAGAUAGACAGACAGAAGGAGCAUAUAUUUAUUGAAUAAAUGAUUGAUUGAAUUAAAAAGCUAGUAAUGUGGACCAAAAUCUUUACAUUCCAUACUACAAUACAAGGAGUCAAGGAGCAAUGUUAAGAGUAGAGGGACAGUCUGAUGUCCUUCUUAAUAUAGACUUUAAGUGUAUGAUACUUGGAUAUUGAGACAAUUGGAUUAAGCAGAACACCUAAAAGUGUUUAAUGGGGUUAAGUGGGAAGAAGAGCUUCAAUAUAAUGUAUUUUAGUGGCACAUCUCAUUCAAUAUUAUUUAAGAAUUGUUAACUGUCUUAUUAUUUAAGAAUCUUUGCCCCGUGAUCCUAUAUGAUUUCCAAAUUGUAUUUUUAGUGGGAGGAUACUGGUUUUUGCCUUCUGUGUUAACAGGUCAGGAGUGGGAACUGCUAAUCUAAAGGUUUUCGUAAUUCAGAACUAUGAUUUAGAAACUAAAGUUCAUGUAAGGUUCAAGAAAUAAUAUUUUUUUCAAGAAAAAAAAUGGUGUCAAGGUAGCCUUAGUAGCGGAUCUCUUUCCUCUAUGGAAUUAGAUUCACAGGUCUGGAAGGAAGGGAUCUUGAUCUCGUCUGUUGAGUAUUGUAACUAGAUCAUGGUAUGUGGCCUGAGAAGAUGGAUUGGGCAGGUCCUGGCAGGAAAGACGUGGCUCCCUUGAAAGGGAAAAGGAGGAAAUAAAGUGACUACUAACAAAGGCAGGGGUCAGGGAAAUCCACAAGUAUCUUAGAGUUAACAACAACAGAAUGUCAUUACCCCUGACAGGAGCUGUGGCCUUCGGGCAAAGAUUGCAGUCACUGCCAAAGCAGCCCAGGAGGGCAGGAGCCAAGGGGAUAAAUAUUGCCACCUGUGUCUCUUCCCUCCAUUCAGUUUCUUACUGGCCAUUCCAUCGGAUGACCCAAAUGGACCUCAGAAAGCAUGGAACCAAGAGAUGUAGUCUCAGGAGAGUAGACUCCUAGGGCAUAGAUCAGGGUGCAAAGUGGAGGAGAAUGGAUCUGGAGGGGCAAAUGGAGAAUAUCUAGACAGUGGGGAAAAUCUUCAAGUUAUGAAAAGUGACCUUCCUUGUCCAUAGCAUUCAUGUGUUCAUUUGAAGGGUUAACUAGGGUGCUUCAUUUGUUAGGAUUUUUUUGCUUGUAGACUAACCUCUAAAUCAGAUCUUGUGAAGGGGAGCCCCAUGCAGAAGUGUUUUGUUUGGUUCACACAGUGUUUUCUUUUAAAUACCAACAAAUGGCAAACUAUAGUGCCUUUGGGGAGAUUCACAUCAAAGUCUGAGUCUCAUACUUCUUUUGACAAAUGGAAAAUUUGGCAGCACUGAACAUGCAUUGGGAACAAUCUGCCAAGUUUAGUAGGAGCUGCCCCUUUAGACAGGUAGGAACUCUUCAUUUUGCCUCAAUCCCCACCACCCCCUAUUGUAGUCUUAAACCCACAUGGCUUCUGCCUGAUAUCUGUAGACUUUUGAGUUUGUGACCCUUGGCCUCAACAAAGCACUUUAGAGAAGGAAGGAUAGAUAAGUCACACUUAACCUAGAAAGACAGUGAACUCUGUCUUGGAAGAUGUGCUUCUCUACAAAGGGAAUAAAGAGACAGGGAGAUUAAUCUUGUCCCUGGAGACACAGUCUGAGUGUUUGUUAGACUACCUAGGAGAAGGUUUUGCUAGAUACAUGAAGUUCAGUUGGAUUUUUUAGGUCAGUCUCUGUGUUUACCUUUAAACUUUUAAUUCUUUUCCAUAGAACAAAGAUUGUUGAAUGGAAUAUGUUCCAGCUUAUUCCUUAUUUCAGUACAAGAACAUGCUAGGAAAAGAGAAAGCCUGAAAUGGGAAAGAAAGAAAGAAAGAGAGCGAGAAAGUAGAGAAAAAGCAGGUAAACUGUAAUCUGAUAUAAACAACACUGUCAGGAGCAUCCUGUUCCUUAUAGUUUUGCCUGAUUUCUUUUUUUUUUUAAGAUUUUAUUUAUUCAUUUGAAAGAGCAAGUGAGAGAGAGAGAGCGAGCGCUAGAGGGUACAAGCCAGGAGGAGGAGCAGAGAGAGAGGGAGACUUCCCACCAAGCAGGGAGCCCGAUUCGGGGCUUGAUCCUAGGACCCCGGGAUCAUGACCUGAGCUGAAGGCAAAUGCCCAACGGACUGAGCCACCCAGGCACUCCUGUUAGCCUGAUUUCUUUAGCAUAAAUUCCUAGAAGAGGAAUGGCUGCAGUAAUGUGCAUUUAAAUUUUUGAUAGACAGUCCCAAACAGUAUACCUGUUUGUAAGACCUUUAAUUCUUAUUGUCAAAUUGCCCUAUCUAUCUGGAGUAAUAGACAGUGAGGACUCAAAUAAGGACAUAUAACCCAACGUAAAGGCAGCCUGUUAGAUGUUUAUGAUAGGAACAGACUACAUUUUUACCUACUAGGACCAUAUAUUGUAAAUAAUCUCAGCACUUAAAUUUUGGAGUUUUUAAAAAAAAAAAAACUGUAGGUAAGAUAGAGACUACCAGUUUUGCAUGAUAAUUUUUUUUCUCUGCUCUAUGAGAAGAUUUUUUUUUUUUAAUACUAUACUGCUUAGACUAUAUCAAGAGAAAUGGGCUCUAUUAUCCCUAUGAUAAAACAUUGGAAUUAGAAGAGCUGAGUUUUAAUUCUGGCCCAGCUGUUUCUCUGUUUAUAUGAUCUUGGACGGGUUAGUUGACUUGUCUUAAUCUUCUCAUCUAUCCAGUGGAGAAAAUACCAUAAUUGAUUCAAAGUGUUACUGUAAGAGCUAAAUAAUACUAUCGAUGAAAAUAUAGAGUAUUUUGUAAACUGCAAAGCAAUAUACAAAUUUCUCAAUAUCAUUAGUAACACUAUAAUAGUAAUACUAUUCCUAAAUUUUUCUGAUAUAGUUCCUUCUGGUUACUCCCAAGGUUACAGAUUAAUUAGCUGGAUGGACAUUCUCUUGUAACUGUGUGCCUCUUUUCUUUUAAAACACUGGAUCUCUCUAUCUGAAAGGAAAAUUUCAGGAGAAUUUAUGAACUUGCAGUCUUGGAACUUGGAGAGAAGAGACACAUAUUCCUGCAUAUUCCCAGAUCAUUAAUCCUACUUUUAAUUCUGCUCCCAGCCUUGUACCACAUCAUUUCCUAAUGAUCAACUGCAGUGAGUAAUAACAACCUUUGGGCAGAUCAAAUUUCAGUUUUAAAAUCCAGGAAGCAAAGCUGUGCUUUGGUCUUUCUCCUUUUUAAAUUAUAGCUAAAUGUUCUUUUUCUCUAUUUAGGCAAGUCGGAUGCCUGGUUUCCGCCAGACCAAAGGGAAGCCAGGCCCCUCUUCUGUGUAUGUCACUGUCAUAAACCCAGAGGGUCUGGGCUUAUGAAGCAGCUACUUAUGAAAUAAUGUUUUGGCACUGAAUGCCUCACACCUGAAAUUAGGAUCUUUGGAAGACGUUUUCCGGGGUUUUGUGGUAGUGGUUGUUGCUUUUGUUUUUCUUUUUAUGUUUGUUCCUAUAAGAUCUUUAUGAUGAAGUAUUUCUAGUAUUUCAAUAGACCUAGCUGCUUGGAAUCUGGUGAAUUGUCAACAGGAUAUAUUUUCUCUCAGAAUUUGUUAUUCUGCUGGAACCAUGCUGUGGUGCUUUUGUGAUUGAGUUAGCCACCAGAUAACCCCUGCCCUUAACUUUCUGCAUUAAAAUUGUUUCUCUCUGUCAUCCAGACGGUGGGUUGGUAUUUCUCAGGUAACUGUUUAGCAUGUAAAGCUUAUUAAAAGCUUGCUACUGAAAAAUAAUAGGGCUCUUGCCUGUAGGAGCCAUUACAGAAGGUGAGAGCCCCUUUUCUGGUAAGAAUUCGGGUUAGGACCCUUCAUUUCCCCAACAGAACAUCAGCUGAUAGUACCUAUAUGCUGCACUUGAAAUGCUCGAGCAACCUUGUCCUUGAGCAAGACAGCUUGCAGGGCAGGUUAGUCAUGAGUUACUGUAGGUUCUCGAAGAGCUUCCAUUUUAUCAUAGUAGCACCAGUAAACAGCUUGCCCAGACUAUGUUAACCAGCCAUGCACAGAUACCCCUUUACUGAGCUGCAUUUCAGUAUCUGGCCUUUGGCUUCACCCAACAGUCAAAGAAAGAAAUGGCCACCUGGCUUCAGCUGAAAUCACCGUUCCUUAUUUCUAACUUAUUUUGUGGAGGGACUAUGCCAUAAAUUCCUCUUUGAGCUCAGCAGUAGAAAAUGGACGUUCCUUCCGACAAAUCCAUCUGCUUCCACGUUUAUGAAAUUGAGAAUUCAUAACCUAUCAUGUUCCCUUUUUAGCUUUGGUUUCCUAAGCUCAGAGCCAAAAUUAGUGCUUCAUUACAAUAACUCGUCUCCAUUUCCUGGUAGUUAUCUCUUUCUUCCAUGUGGAUUAGCUCUUCUUUUCUUUAUUUCAGUGAUCCUGUACAUGUGUUUAUUUUAAGCCAUUUUAAAUCCUUUAUGGAAGUAGGUAGAGUUCAGAUUAUAAAUAAAAUGGUAUCGCUCCUAUUAUUGUCACAGUCACAUUAUUGAUUUGUGUUUGGCGUUAGUCUCCUGCUUCCCUCUGAACUUCUCCUUUAUCCUUGCUGAUUUGCUCAUAUUUGGAUGGGGAUGAAAAACCAGACUAGGAGCAAAAAAAGGAUAUGAUCCUCAACAGAAACCUGACAAUAUUUUUAUAGUUUAAAGUAUAAGGUUAUAGGGCUCACUGUACAAAUAUUUUUAUUUUCAUGUGAAUCAGAGAGCUAUCACUUGUCUUAGAUACAGCAGAGGGGUUAAGGGUGUUUGGUUAGGGGACUUUGUUCAGGUUAAAUAGUGGACUUCAUGGCCAAAGUCUCCCCUGCAGCCCUCAGUGUUAGAAUUAUGAAGCGCUUUUCAGUUGAAUCUCAUAUCUGGGUUUAGAGUUGCUAUUUUAGGCAGAAACCAGGGCUGAUGACGUGGAGAAAAGAGUCUGACUUUUGGGAUACUCUGACAUCACUAUCCAUAGGAACUGAUGCGUGAGAACUGGGAUUGGAAAGCUAGUCUGGCUAAAGGGACUUAAAGACUUUGGGAUAAGAUGACAGUUCCAGGUUAUUGGGUAAAGAAGAAAACUCAAAAGACAUCUGGCAGUAAUGGUGGGGAGAACAUCAAGCAAAAACCAUGUAGAAACAAAGGGAAAAGCAAAACAGAGACAGCAGGAUCCUGAGAUCCAGGUCGUACCACAGACUUCCUCUCUUCUCUCGCUGAGUCUCAGCUGGGCCCGGGGAGGGCUUGCGAUUUAGCGGGUGGGUGGCACAGUUGGCCAUAGAUUAGGUCACCACGGAAUAAGUACCCUCUUUACUUGGAACAUCUUUCCAGGGCUGGACCAUUCCUUUAGGGUUAAGUGAGAAGUCGCUGUUCAAAGAGGAAGCACAUCCAUGUGCUGCUGCAUUUUUUUAAACCAAAAUAACGUAUUUGCCUAUUGCUAGAAGCCUGCCCUUUUAAAAACAAAAAGACUGGCACAGACAAUGGCUUUUGGGGAUGAAGAUACUUCCCUUUGUGUCUGUUCUAGUCAAGCCUCUUCUGGUUGCAUGGAACAGAAACCAUCAUGAGCUAGCUUAAGGAAACGGGGGUUUAGUGCAAGUACGUGAAUAUGUUCUCGGGAGAGUGAUGCGAGACUUCCAUGGUCAGGAACCUUCCCAACCUCAGGGGAGCUAGAAUUGGGAGGCUUUUUUGGGACUCAAGAUAGCUACGUUCUCGCUUUCUCUUUCCCUUCAUUGUGUUUGUCAGGCUAAAUGUUUAGGUCCUUGUUACUGCAAGUGCAGACUGGGGACCGGCAGCAGGGACAUCCCCUGCAAUCUUGUAGCAAUGCAGACUCUCAGGCCCCACCCCAAAUCUGAAUUGGCAUUUUAACAAGACCUCCGGUGAUGUUUGCACAUGAGGGUUUGAAGAACUUGGUGUAGGUCCCUGGCUAUUUAUAGAGCUGUUCCCUUUACUCGGGUGCCCACUCCAAUGUCAUCAUCCUGGAUGAGGGGCUGGGCAGGGCCAUGUGACAAGCAUGACCUUGGCUGGGGCUGUGGGAGGGAGAGGCCAGGCUGGCUCAUCUUAUACACCAUCUAAGACUUUCGGGCUUUCCUUUAACUUGUAGCAUCUGUUAGGACCAUGGUUGGUUCCCAAUUGCCGAGACAUAGUUGGUGGAGAAAUUUUGUGAUUUAUUUAAGACUAAAUAAAACUGGUUGUAGCGCCAUUACUACCUGAAAAUGUCAUUGUUUUGCUUAUAUCUUACGUUUUAUUGGCUUUUCAAAGAUAAUUAAACCUGAAAACACUGUAGACUAAGUAUAGUUUAGGCAGUUGUAUGAAUAGGAGUUUUUAGCUCUACAUGAAUGUACUCAGGUGGUUUAACGACAGCUACGUCUUCCUUCCAGCUAGGAGACACUGAUCAGUGCUAACGUUUACAAAGCUCUGUCUCUCUCACAUGGAGUCUCGUGUGCAUACCUCCAGCUCCCAUCAUGCCCAUUAGCCUGUGAAAUUGAUUCUUUUAAAUGGUUAUACAGGUCUUUGGCUUAUUAGCCAACCGUAUGACUGAGCAAGUGAGUCCUGUUUUCAGGAAUUCUAUGAGUCAGUUAGAUCUUUAAGGACGGGUGUGUGUGUGUGUGUGUGUGUGUAUCAGUCACUCCCAGGGACACUUAGAGCUCUUUUACAGUUUGAUACAUUCCCCAUCCCCUAGAAGACAUUUUCUCAAAAGGGAGAACUUUGCUACCUCCAUUAGUUUAUUUUAAAGAAUUUUUUUGGUUUUAUCUCUUUAAGUUUUUUUAUAUCUUUUUAUUAAGAGAAUUUUUUUAGAGUAGUCUAAGCUUCCCAGGAAAAUUGAGGGGAAAGUAUAAAGAUGUCCCAUAUGUCCUCUGCCCCCACACACUAUUACCUAUUUGAAUGCUUCAUUCCCUUGGCCUGCCCUUGUUGACCAUACCUGUUUAAGGCAUGAUUAGUUGUUUGCUCCUUGCCUGGCUGGUCCAGUUUUUGGUGUUUCAAGGUACUGAUUUCUCCCCGCUUAGUAACCAUUCCAACAAGAAUGGUGGAUUUUCAUAUUGCCUUUUAAAUAGAAUAGGUCUCUGUAAGGCACAUUGUAAGUUUCUCGCUGAAUUUAAUGAAGACAAAUUAAAUCUGUAUCUUUAUUGAAGCAAUUCAGGUGAUGAGAAAGGAAGCUCUUGAAUCAAGAAAGAAGGUACGGGGGGUGAUGUCGGAUACAGAGAGACUUAGGGCCACUUUUCUGAAACACAAAAUGAGCUUCAGUGCUAAGAAAACUCCCAGCUCUGAAUAAGGAGUUGAUGGAAUGUCCAUGCAAGAUGGAAUUUUAUUUCUGGGACAUUGUUGGAAACCCAUUAGAUGGGAUGAUCUUCAGUCUUUUGUAGUCUGAAAUUUAAUGAACUCUUAUAAACGUUGUUUAUAAAUCCUAAGUGAAGAGAAAAAGGGCUCCCUCCUUAAAUUUAUGUUCUGAUAUGCACUUUAAAGUUGGAAUUCCCAUUGCACUUCUGAUCUUUUCUUAAACUGUGAAAUCUAUCACACAUACAAGAGUGUAUCACAUUUAUGUACCACUAAAGAUUGAUAAGAUGAAUGCCUCUGUGCCUACCACCCAGACUAAGAAGGAGAACAUUACCCAGUGUCUUUAAAGCAGUCUCUGUUAAUGUGCAUUUCUAGACUUCUUUAAUGUGCACCGUGAUGUUUUAUUUGUGAGCACUCAUAUUGGUGGAUACCAAGCGAGAGAAGCUCAGCCAGUUUUAUCUCAUAUGCAAACUUUUCUCAUAUUUCCAAUCUGAUACUGAACUUGAACACAGUUAAAUUCUUCCUCUUAGAAGCUGAUCUUUAACAAGCUGAUUAUCCUGCUUAAAAAUAAUAGCAUCAUUCAUGACUUUAAUUUUCCCAUUCACACGGCAAUUACAGCCGUGGUAGCUUCCCUGAGCACAGGAUGAGUAUCCAUCAGCUUGAGCUUCUGCUGUAGAGAAGGCGAGGGGCCUGUAGGCUGACAAUCCAUCCAGGCCCAGGAGAAAGCAUAGCUAAUGGAAACUGUCUUUAAAUCGUCGACAUUAAAUCCACCGAAGGUGUCAUUAUUUUCUAGGUGUGUGAGAGGGGCAUUAAAGUUCUACCCUUUCAUUUCUGAUGUGGAUUUUUUAUUGUCACCUACAGUUCCAAAGAGCCAAGAUUGGAUGCAUACAUUAAGUAACUACAUGCUUUGGUAAAAAUCAGAGUUUUGAAAAAGAGAGAGUGAAGGACAUUGAUUAGCCAUUAUAUUGCAUCAUUUAGAAAUGGGCAGGGAAACUUCCCAGUGAUGCCGAGGGCUAGGAAGACAGUUCUCAAGAGGCCCUGUGGAGUGCCCAUCCUGCUGGAGGUCUGGGCUCAUGGCCAAAGGCACUGGUUCUUUUUUAGGAAUGACCAGAGCUGACAUUGAGUGCUUCCAUUAUGUUAAGUGUCUCAUAGCAACUGCAUUGAUAAGGACCUAUUAUAAAUGAGGAAACUGAGACCCAGAGAAGCUAAGGCACCUGCCAGGGUUGUAUUAGUCACUGUCUCUGCUUGAGUCUCGUAGAGAGAACAUUGCAUAGUGGUUAAGAGGAUGAGCACCGGGACAGGCCAUUUGGGUUCAUGGCACACUCAGCCACUUAGUAGCUCUGUGACCUUGACCAAGCUACCUUAACCUCUGUGUGCCUCAGUUUCCUCAUCUGUAAAACAGGGAUACUGACACUGCUGUCCUCUUAGAGUGGUGUUUAGGAUUAAGAAGUAAUGACUGUAGGGGCACCUGAGUGGCUUAGUCGGUUAAGCAUCUGCCUUCGGCUCAGGUCGUGAUCCCGGAAUCCUGGGAUCGAGACCUGCAUCGGGCUCCCUGCUCAGCAGGAAGCCUGAUUCUCCCUCUCUUGCUGCCCCUGUUUGUGUUCCCUCUCUUGCUGUCUCUCUCUCUGUCAAAUUAAAAAAAAAUCCUUAAAAAAAUAAUAAUGACUGUAAAGUACUUGGUCCAGUGCACAUCAUAUAAAGCAUGCUUAGGAAAGUCUAGCUAAUAAGUGAAGAGUCAGUGUGGAGCAUUUCUCUAAGUCUGAGAGUAGUCAGAUAUUUUAGAAAAUAGUUCAUUCUUAUUGCAAAAGCAACAGUGUUUGUUACAGAGCAGUUAGAAAAUAUAUAGAAAUAAAACAGGAAAAAACUUUAUCCCACUAUCCAAACAUAAUUGCUAUUAAUAUUUUGUUCUGUUUUCUUCUGCACUGCUUUAAUAUCAUUGUGAUCAUUAUCAUGCUUUAUAAACAAUUUUGCAUCCUUUUAUACUUAAAAUGAUAAUAUAAUGAUGAUAUGAGUAUUAGCAACAUAAUAUCUUUAUAAAUAUAAUUUUAAUGAUUAUAAUAAUUUCUACAUUGCUCCAUUGUUUGGUAUUGGCUAUUAUAAUUAAUGUUUUCAUAAACAUUUGUGAAUAAACUAUAUUUUCUUAGAUUAGGGAUCAAGCAGACAUGUAUAUAUAACUUUAAAAAACUAUUUUACAGAAUUAACACUUUGCACUGUAACUAACUUUACAUACACAGACCUUAAAAGAAAUCCAUGUCUUUACAACAUCCUUGUUAGGUAAGAGCAAGUUAUCCUUAACUUAGAAUAAAACAAUAAUGAACUCAUUUCUGGAGGUAUUUAUUAGGUGCCCGUUUUUACCUAAGGACUGGUUCUAACUACUAGGAGGGUGAAGAAGUUGUAAAAAUAAGUUUAAGGAUCAUCCCACCUUUUAGAAAAUAUGAAGCAUGUACUUUCCACUGUAAGGAAGAGAUCAGACCUUUAUUUGCCUUAAUCUGAGAGGGUGCACGCGUGCAUGCCUGUGUGUGUGUGUGUGUGUGUGUGUUCAUGCACACUUUUGCAAUGCUGCUUCCAUGCCAUGGGCUUGCUUCAUGUGGUUUCCAACAGAGUGAGCUCAAGAUUAGAGAGCACCUUGCCAUCCUGAUUGGCCAUUACAGAUUCGGAUGACGUCUAUGUUUACAAGCUGUUUGCAAAAUGUUGCUUGGUGCUGCCUAAUCUGUGGCAUGUGCCUGCUUCUCACACAUCCCCUCGUGGGAGGCAGGGCUGAGCCCGGGGAGGGAGCGUGCCCCCUGCACAGUCAGGCGGGGUAUGAGGCUGCCUUCCUGAGGCAGGCACAGUAACCUAGGAAAGAUGAAGGACACAGGCCCUGUUUGGUCUCCGUGCUCUGGAAAUCAUCACUAGACUGUCAGCAUUCAUUCAGCACAUUUCUUUGAGGUUUUCUGUGGAAUGUCUUCUCAUAAUGUCUGUUUUAAAGGUUUAGCUUUCAAAGUCCAGAGAGAUUGAGUGACUCAGAUGGUUCUUAAUUCAGCAUGCUGCGUGCUGCCUGGCACCAUGUUUUUGUACGCCCCCUCCCUCCUUAGUUCUUUCGUUUGGUGGCUGAAGAGAAUCUCUGGCUUGUGGAAGUGCUGCUGAAGGUGUAUUGGGUGGUCAGCACGUCUUUAUAUAUUUGCCAACACUGUCUUUGGUGCGAAAAGAGAAAGGACCCGAGUCUACUUUAGAGGGAAAUUCCCCCCUAGGUUGUGUAACCAUUACUUCUUGCCUGGUGGGGAGGUAGGGGUGAGGCAUGGACUGGCCAGUGGAAUGCAGGCAGCCUCUAGAAGCUAGGAAAAGCAAGGAAUGGGAUUCUUCUCUAAAGCCUCCAGGAGGAACACAGUCCUGCAGACAUCCUGAUUUUAGCCUAGAGACACCCAUUUUGGACUUCUGGUCUCCAGAACUAUGAGCUAGUAAACAUGUGUUGUUUCAGGCCGCUAAGUUUAUGGUGAUUUGUCAUGGCAGCCAACAGGAAACUAAAGCCAUUCCAAGAUGGUCACCGAAGGGUAGGCUGUGUCUGCUCCUGAUGGUUCAUCUGGAGAAUAAUGUCCUUUUUGGCAUCUGAAUGCUUUUCUGAGGGCUAAUUUACGCAUCUUGAGGGGAAGGUGAAUUUAACAGGACACCAGUUUGAAAGAAAUAGCGGUAGCUGACUAGUACAUCAGUACAGAUACCUCUUGGCCACACUGCACUUCUUCUCUCUGCCAUGUGAUCAUUCAGAAUGGACUCUUCUUGACUGUCAAAGAAAGUGAAGUUCGUUAAGUCUCUCGUGUGUUAGCCUGAUAGCAGAAGUUAGCAGAAUCAUUCAGAAAACUUUGUUGGAGUGUUUAAACUUGCCUGCAGCAUCGAAGGCAUGAUUUAAUCUUGGAAGUAGAAGUAAGAUUGCCAUGUCUUUGGGGUUUUCUUUUCCCAGUAAGGCAUUUAUUUGCUCUGAAGGAUGGGAACCCAUCAUGACCUUGAAAAUCUCCUUUUACUGGCACUGCUGCUAUUAGUUGGAGGUAACUCUGUGGAUGCUGUGUUUCUAACUUUCAACCAGCUAGUGAAUCGCUGUCUUUUGAUCUUUCUGCAGCCUGGUUUUUGUUUUUAACUGUAAACAUGACCUGUCCCUUCCAGAACUAGGUCACUUUCAUUUUGGUCGGAAUAGUUAAUAAAAGUUUCAGAGGGAAACAAAGAGUUUCUGCAGCAUUUUCUCUUCCAAACGAGCCGGGAUGAAACUGAAAUGGGGCCGUAUCGGCGUCUACAUUUGAAAUGACAAGAAUGUAUUUCUACCAAAAUAUACACUGAACUUCACAAUGUAAAGAAGGAACAAAGUCAUCUAUAGAAAAGCAAGCUCAGGCCCCAGAGCUCACAGAGUACCCAUUAUAGUCCUCCCAGAAAAGCGUUUUCUUCACCGGAGAACUUACCAGCUAGCUCGGCCUGGCACUGCAAUGAGAGGACACUAGCUCUUACUAUUCUCUCGACUCGGCGUCUGAAAAGUAUUUAUUUCUUAGCACAUUUCUCUCAUCUCUGUGCCUCUACAGCUGGAUAUUGCUUACGGCUAAAUGUUUUUGUGAUAAAGUUAAUUGCUGAAGCUUCGAUUUUUUUUUUUGAGCCAAGUUGCAUGGAACAUGCAGUAACUGUUGAUAAAGUCUUAUUACUAUAAAAGUCCAUUCUGAUUUCUUAAAAAAUCAGACAGUUCAAUUGUCCUGUGAAAUAACUGAUAGUGAUAAUUCUUUGACUCUGAUACAAUCUUAGAAUAGCUCAGCUCCAGUGCAUUUUUUAGAGGUGAGUGUGGAAAAAAUAAGCUAUGGAAAGCACUUGUAGUCAGUUGGAAAAAGAGAGAGUUUGUUCCCCCCCACCCCCAGCCAGCAGAUAGGCCCAAAUUUGUAGAAUUAAAAUAGGAAGCUGUUAGUGUUCAUGAUAGGUAUGUCUUUUUUCUAAGGGUUCGUCUAAUAAAAAUGAUUAAAAACCAGCAUGAUGAUAAUUAGAAUUUAUAGCACAUUUAAUUUAUGCAUUAAAGGUCAUAUUAAUUGUGAUUAUGCAUAGAAAUAUAGUACUUUAAUUCAUAAAAGGGAGCCUUUGAAUCUUGGCUGGGCAUAUGGGUCUUAAAGGGAAAAAAACCUAAAAGAUUCAAAGAAGGAUCAAUGAAGAAGAGUGAAUGUUAAUAAUGCCAUAGCUCACUCCCCUUUUCAUCCAUAAAGCCCUAUUUAUUAAUCAUAACAGCAUCAACAAUAAUGAGCAUAUUCCUUGUUUGCCCCAUUGGUGACCUUCGAGGUUUCCAUUAUGCUUGGCAAUUGCGCAAUGCUCAGAACACAAGUUGCCUUCCAGAGUGGGCAGAAAUUCCCUGGGUAGCCCCAGGUCCCAGCAAACCACUCGAUCAACCUUUACAUAGAAGUCAUAGCCUAGGGAAUAGCCUUUUCCCCUCUGGUUUUGGCCUCUGGUUGCCUGUGAGGUUACAAGAACAUGAUACAUAGAUUCAGGUAACACACUGGGUUUGAUGGGAAAUAAACCAGCAAUAACUGUUGUCAAGCUAAUUAUUAGUUUAGACAGAUGUACUCAAUCUGUGGAUAGAAGCCCUCGGAUCGGACCCUCGUUUGACCUCCAAUGUGCAGACCCUUUUGCUGAGGUGAGCGGGGUGGGUAGUAGUGGGUACCUUGUACCACUGGAGUGGAGUUCCCUUUGGUUUCCAAAUUGCAUCUCUGAAUAGCACAGGAUUUGAAUUAUUACUUUAAAAGUUGUUUAUCUUUGGAAAAUAAUAACUGAAAAUUUACCCAGCAAAAAAAUUUUUAUUCAAAGAAAAUCCUUUCCAUUUUGAUUUGGGUUACAUAUAGUUAGCCAGUUUCUUCUAAUUUUUUUUCAUUUCUUUUAUUCUAUCCCUCAACGUCCAUAUUUUUGUGAUAGGAUACCAUCAUUUUUGUAUUCACCAUUCAUGUGAUAGGAUACCAUUCAUUUUGUAUUUGUAUUUUUGAAUAUGGUGAACUAAUCUGCAUGUCUCCAAUCCUUCUUUGAGUCACCGGAAGCUCUUUCCUGCUCAGUAGAGUUUGGGCUAUUAUUAAUUUUACCUCUUACUUAAAAUCUUGUCUUUCUUUGAAUGUGAAUGUCUUCAUUUCCCCUAAUGCCUAUUCAGUCAACUCUAAUUGCUGUUUCUUCAGUCUAGGGUCAUCUUCAUUAGUUUAAUUAUCGUAGAAGCCUGUUUCCUAAAUGUGCUAAUAGCAUGAAAAUGACUUAUUUCCAUGUUCUCUGUUGUGCUACAUUAAGAAACAGACAAAAAGAAAAAUUUGUACAGGAAGACUGAAAAACAUCAGUUUUCUAGGAUGGCGCAUUCGAGGUUGCUGCCCCCAGCCUCAUCUACCUCUAGGAGUCAGGACCUGAGCUGGAGAGCAGAGGGUGGAGCAGGGGGCUGCCUGAGGCAGUCAGUCAGUAGCAGAAAAAACCACAAGCCUCAUAAAGAGGAAAAGCCAAGGGAAGCAAAUACACUUGACAACAAGAACAGGAUACAUAUAGGAGCAGAAGGCCUGGGUCAAGAGCUGGAUGUUGAUUAGAGGGAGAUGGGAGCAGGUAGGGAUGAAAUGAAGCAGGUAGCAGGCAUUGCUUUGACCAGAACUGGGUGUUCUUGAUUUGCCUCUGUUGGUAGGUAGGUUCAUGGUGUGUGCAUGCCAGGCUGGUUUAAAGGGUUAGGGCUGGUUGUAAACAGUCAUGGUGCAAAGAAUGUCUUUACAGUGUACCCAAACAUAUUGUAGAAAAGUCACCCUCUCAGAGAUACUUGUCCCAUUAUGGCAUACCAACCGUUGCCGGGCUCCAGCUGGGACAUUUCUCUGUGCUUCUUUCUUACAGUGCCUGAUUUCCAGUUCCCAUCCAAAUGAAAGUGGACCAUGGGAUGAAUGAUUUGUUUGCAUGUGAUCUUCCUUCCAUUCCUUUGUAACUUUUUUUAACCUUGUUUCUUGAGUUUCACAUAGUAUCUCCUUUAUUCUACCAAUUAUAUGUCGUAAGCAAUUUGUAUCUUUAAAGUGAAGGUUCUUGGGGCAUGUGGGUGGCUCAGUUGGUUGGGCGUCCGACUCUUGAUCUCAGCUCAGGUCUUGAUCUCAGAGUCGUGGGUUUGGGCCCUGUCCAGUGUGGAGCCUACUUAAAAAAAAAAGAAAAAGAAAAAAGUAAGUUAAAGUGGUGGUUCUCAAAGUGUGGUCUGGGGAACCCAAAGGUCCCUUAGGCCCUUUCAGAGAAUCUACAAGGUCAAAACUGUUUUCACAAUACCACUAAGACAUUGCUUGCCUGUUUUUGCUCACAUUAUCUCAUGACUGUACAGAAUAUACGUUCAUCAAUAAGGAUUCAGCUUCCAUGCCACAGGUAACCUUUAAGAAACAACCAGUUGUCGAGUUUUAGUGUAUAUCAAAGAAGAAUCCAAAAAGGGCUAUUAAAAUACUCCUUCCUUUUCCAGCUACAUUUCUGUGAGGCUAGAUUUUCUUCGUAUACUUUAUUUAUUUUUUCUUCAUAUACUUUAACUGAAAGAGCAUAUCGCAAAAGAUUGACUGCAGAGGGAGAUAUGAAAAUCUAGCUGACUUCAAAUCAAGGCAGACAUUAAAGAGAUUUGCAAAUAUGUGAAAACUGGCUCUUACUAGUUUUUUUCCUGUAAAAUAGUUAUUUUUCAUAAAAUAUGUUAUUUAUGUUAACAUAUGAUGGGUUUAUUGUUAUUUUAAAAUAAAUUAAUAAAUAUUUUUAAAGUUUCUUUGUUUUAAUUUGUAAUACAGUUUAUCUGGAUAGGUAUAAUCCACACAAACGGAAGUUUUUGGGGGUUCUCAAUAAUUCUUAAGAGUAGAAGUGGAUUUUAAGACUAAAAAGGUAGAGAACCACAGCAUUAAAGUAAGCAUUUGUUUAUAAUGCAAGAAUUGGGUUGUUUAAUGACACAAAUGUAUGGUCCACAAAUGUACAGUGUUAAAGUCAGAAAUUGAUAAUGAAAGUGACUUUUACAAAGUACUUGGUCUGGGUCUCUCCUGUCUUCCCUGCUAGCAGUUGCUACAUUUCCCUCUUCUUUCUUCCCCUUACACACCAAUAACUGUAAAGCCUGACGUAAAUCCUGUAAAAAUAUGUGGGAAACACUUAGUUGCUAUGUAUUCUUUUUUCAUAAAAUGUUUCAAAUUGCCAAUAAUACUUUAAUAACAGCAAGCAGUUUUGCCUUUUCUGCCUGAGGGAAACAGCUUUACAACAAAAUUUCAUUGAUUCUCCAGUUAUUUAUCUGUUAAAAUAAAAGCCAAAGUAUCAGCCUCCUAAGAGGAAGACUGGAGAAGCCACAUUAUUUCUUCCAAUUAAAGAGAUAGAACUUAUAAAAUGGAAAGUGGCUGUGUGAUCAUCAGAUAAAGUCCUAGAUUCAGAGGUGAGACCAGGGUUGGGACUUGGUUUUCUUGAGUGCAGCUCAGUCAUUGCAAAAUGCACUGUUAUUACUGUCACCUUUCUUUGAUACUCUGCCCAGUAUGUGUUCGAUAAAGAUUAACUAUUCAAAGAGCCUAUGAGACAGUGCAUAUCUAGUACAGAGGGAGAUGGACCAGAAGUCAAGGGCCCUGGCUUCUCUCAGCUCCUCACGAGCUCACCCUGUGACCUUGGAUAAGUCACCCAACCUCCCCAGUGCUUCUGGGUCAUCUGUCAAAUAAAGACUUACCAGCCUAGAGAGGUGGGAGGCACCUUUAGAGUUUAUAAUGUAAUUUAUUUGUCUUCCAUCUCAUGUAAUGAUUACAACAAACCUUGAAGUAACUAAGGUGGGUGUCAUUACUUCCUUGCAGUUAAGGAAGUACCUGGGGUUAUAUGAUUAGUAGUAAUGACACUCCGUUCUAUUCCUCGUCCUAACAAUACAAAACCUCUGCCCAGGUGUACAUGAACCAGUCUCUUGGUCCUUGAGAAAUGCGUGCUCAAAGCACAGGCGAUGUCUUUGACUCCUCAAGUUGGAGCUCUGAAUGAUUUCAUGUAGCAAUAUGGCUACAGGUGGUUUUUCAGGACUGGAUAUUUUUUUUUUUUAAAGAUUUUAUUUAUUUAUCUGAGAGAGAGAGAAUGAGAGAGAGAACACGAGAGGCGGGGAGGGUCAGAGGCAGAAGCAGACUCCCUGCUGAGCAGGGAACCCGAUGUGGGACUCCAUCCUGGGACUCCAGGAUCAUGAGCUGAGCCGAAGGCAGUCGCUUAACCAACUGAGCCACCUGGGCGCCCCAGGACUGGAUAUUGUAAGCACUACAUUUGAGGAUUAUUGUGGGCUAUGUAGAUACUUGUGGGUUGACCUAAAUUCCCAAUCACCUCUUACGGCAUUGUUUCAUGAAAAAGGUGUUUUGAGCUCCAUACAACCUGUAUGUAAAUGAGCUUUUGAAAUACAGAGCAUUCUAUAGUUGGGCAUUCUUUUUAAAUGUUUAUCAUUUUUAUUUUGUGACUUAUUUGAAAUCGUAAUAUGGUAUCACUAAGAAGUCAGAAUAUUUUACCUGAAAACGAUAGUUUUAAAGUAUAUUAUUUUAAAUAGUAUUUCCUCCAAAGUAAAUAACUUUACUUCAUUAUUUUAUUAUGUAGAGAGAGCCUCCCACUCCGCUCCCUCAGAAGGCAGAUUUAAUUGUAUAAUAGAAGUGAAUGGGGGAAAAAUUCUUAUCAGAGAUUGCCUAUAUAAAAAUAAAAUUUCAUUGUACUCCAUCGUCUUUUAAGUAAAUUUUACUUGUAUUUACAAGUGGCUGUACAAUCUGUGGUGUGUCCUGUGUGACUCUGUAUAAAACUACACACUAUUUCUAGAGAAGAUAACUAAAGGCAGAUAGCUGCCUCGAUUUAAGCAUAUCCCAUAUAGAGAAUGAAAGUAUAAAGCUUCCCAUAGGAAAGAUUUUAAGUUGCCUUGUUCUUUCUGGUCAUGCACAUUUAAUAUCUGUCUUUGUUGUUCUCUUUAAAACUAUUCAGUUACACCAUACUUUCUUAUAUUCCGGGGGGAAAAAAUAUUUCCGUAACUCUCCCUUGAAUUAUGUGACAAUGCCUAUUUUUCAUUUUGAUUCUUUAGAACUUCUUAAGUCUUUCAUGAACAGAAAGAUCACAUACUAAUACAUCAUUCUUAUUUUCUUUUCUUACUCCAUUAGAAGCCUAUUCUGCCCGUUACGGUUUCGUGUCAUUGUAUGAAGCUGUGUAUGUCUUGGUGAUUGUGUCAAUAGCCCUUAAAGCAUAGGGUCUGAGCGUGGGAAGGCUCCCUCCUGCUUGAGGCCAUUUAUUGGCUCGUUCCAGAAUUUAAUAAUAUGAAGACUUGACUGUUGUGAAUUCCUUUGGUUAAGCUAAGCUUUUGUAGAAUUAAAUGUACUAUUAUUGAUUUCCUUUUGCUAAAUUGAUGUAAUUAUUUUGCUUUGACAAAUUCAGGACCUUUUAAUGCCUAUCUUGUCACCAAUCUUAUAGUUGUGUAUUUUUUCCCAACAUAACAAUGCACAGUUUCAAGAGCACUGAAUUUUCAAAAGUAUGUGAAAUUUCUUUUUAUAAGGUAGCAAUAGAAAAAAUAAUAUCCUUUAAUUGCAAAAGGAGAAUUUUGAGUGUGAGCUAGUGAACAUUGAAGCCAGAACUGGAAUUUGUUUCCAGUCGAUUUACAUUUGAGUAAAAUUUAUCCUUCUUUCACUUAUGUGUCAAACAAUUUAUUCAAGACUCUGAUGAAUUUUAAAUAUAUAUUUAUAAACCAAAGGAUUUUUAAAGGUACCAAAAUUAAAUAUUUAAUAAAUGUGGAGGUGUUUAGAUAUGGUACUCUUCUUUGUAAUUCUAUGACAAUAAAGGAGAGAAGAUGAAAGGAUCAUUCAUCUUCUUGAGGUAAUAGAUUCUGUAGGUUAUAUAUGGUAUUUCUUUCCCAACUGUACAUGAAAAAAUUGUGGCUCCCCAAACACAAUAGGCUAUUUCAACAAACAAUAAGUACAACUGUGCAUUCACGUACGUAAAUGGUCAAUAAGUUAUAUUACACGGACAUGCAAAUAUAAAUUUCUAUGUCAGUAAUUUCAUUGCAAGCAAUAAACCAUUUUCUUCACUGAAAGACAUGAGUUCAGGCUGGUUUUUAAAAUCAUGUGAGGAAGAACCUGACAAUUCAGAGGAAAGUGCUGUAGGAAGAUACUUUAGCCUGUUCCCUAGUGGCUUCACAUUUUUGUCUUCUGUGAAGUUGAGAAAAUGAACAAAUGUCUGGUAUUCCAUGUACUGAUGCAGUCAUUCUGAUGAGUCAUCAGAUUUCACAAUUAAUUUCAAGAAGUCAUCCAACCUCCUUUUCCAUGAGAGUUCCGACUACCACUAGUCACACAUCAUUCUACAGAAUUAAUAGUGAGGCCCUACUAAUGACAACUUUAAACUGGACUUGGAGCAUCGUUCACCAAGUAUUCCCAGGGAGAUUCUUUUCUCUGCAACACAUCAAUGUGCCUGGCUUGUGAGUUUCUUGAAAGUUGGGUACCUGACUUAACCACAAUAUAAACUAUGUUUUCACAAGUUUAUUGAGGACUGUAUUGUAUGGGAAUGACUCAGAGCCUCCCUGACAUCGAGAUGGAUGAUGUCUUUUAGGCCUGGCCCUGACUUUUUGGAGAUGCAAUAUGAGAGGAUGUGUUCCUUAAGGAGCCAUUCCAUUCGUUAGCCUGUUUUUUUUUUUUCCCCCUGAACCCCCCAGGUUCAGUUUAUUGUACCCAAACAUUAUUAGUCUUUUGGUGACAAACAUGGUAAGAAUACAAAAUUAAAUGCUUUCAACUUAGAUGAAGUGGCUUCUGGUGUAACUCAGAUUACAACUGGCCUAGAGCUCUACGGUGUUGCUCAUGUGCCUUAUUUGCACCUGUGUGCUGGAGACAAUUCACACCAGCGCCCAGGAGCUGACGGUGCACAGCUCUUUCCAAUUAGACUUUCAAAGACGUCAACCGUGGUAGUCUGAAAUCAGCCAUGUUGGGAGUCUUUACACCAAGGAAAUUGGCACACUGGAAGUCCUCCUCUCCACUCCCCAAGAACCAGUUAUUAAUAAUACAUUUACCAACACACUACUGCUUUAAAACCAAGAGGUACUAACUUCGUAGUUUUGAGAUUUUAAACAGUAUCUACCGAGGAUUGAUCACAAAGGAAAUAUCAAAUAAGGCUUUUGACUUUAAGAAAUCACAGGGUUAGCCAAACUACCUCCCUCCACUCAAGCAUUUAUCAAACUUACCUCCUUUCAAACUUGAAAAUGAACAAGAGAAUUUAAGCCUGGGUUAGAAUAGACAAAUAUGUUUUAAGAUGUAUUUUUAAAUGUUGGUUUCAUUUAAUAGAUCCUUCUGGGUGUAGGUCUUUUCUCCAGUUUGGAGAAAGAUGGUUAUGUUUACUAAGGAAGAUUCCUUGGGACUGCUAAUCUUGCCUGGCACGCAAGAGAAGUGGACCAAUCACCGACAAGAUGCGUUCCUUUCCCUUUUUUCCCCUCUUUUCUUUUGUUUUAUUUUUAAGAUAACACUUGUCCUUUGGAAAACUACUUACUCAAAGAUGUCUUGGGCAGAAAAAAAAAUGUUUUACUUCACUAUUUAUUGGAUCUCUUUGAAGCAAUGUACUUUUUUCCUAAGGCUAACCAUAGAGGAGGGCUAGCAUCAUACAAAAAAGUCAUGUCUUGAAUAAAAGUAUAUAGUUUUCAUUAGAAAGAUGAGAAAGAGCACCUUUAUUGACCAGUGUGUCACUUAAAUAUGUUUUGAGGGUAGAUUUGUAGAAUCAUUUCCGACACGAAUACAACCGCUAUCAAAUAUAUUCUUAACAAUGACUUAAAAUAGAAUGAAUUAUAAAUGGGAAAAUUUCUAGGAAUGAUAAUCUACUUACUGAUAUAAUUAAUAGAUAAUUAUUUCAAGUCAAGUGUUAGUUAGCCAAGAUUCGUUUCUGGUAUUCAGAUAUAGUUGUUAUCAAGACUGAAAAUGUUAACUUUCUUCCCACAGUAUUCUAAAUUAUAUUUAAAAUCCUUUAAUCCCUUGGGGCAGGAGGGGUAAUCUUGAGCUCCUGGCUUCUCAUUUACAUUUUUCUUUUCUAGCUGUGUCUAUAAGACAUAUCUUUACACUCAGUGCAUUUUACAAAGCAGGUGUUCUUUCCCUAUGUAGCAUAUAUUGGAGAAAUGACUAGAACAAAUUUAAUAUAGAACACAUUAAGAAAUCAGAAAGGGGAUCAUGCUUGUGGCUAGGGAUAACCUUUUUUGUUUUAGCUGGAAGACAAAAACAAAAGCAGGCAAGUCAAUUAAUUUUAAAAAAUAGUGUCUUCCUUUGGACUUGGGAGAUGCUUCUCUGUUUUCAUUGCUCUCAGGAGAACUUCUGUCUUCUGGAUGACCUUAAGUGUAGCCACAUUAACGCUGCUGCCAUGUCCCUAAUUCAGCCUCAGCUGUGAUGUGAGGUGAUGCUUAGUCAUAAGACGCUGCCGGUCAUCUCUUACACCAGGCAUCCCACUAACCCUGACAGCUCCCUUUUGGUGGGCACUACAUAUAUGCCAGACCUGUGUAGAGAGCCUUACAUACAUUGUCCCGUGAGGUUGGCAACAUCAUAAUUCUCAUUUUUCAGAUGUUGAAACGAAGGGUUUGGGAGGUUAACUUGCCUUAGGUCUCACAGUUAGCAGCUGUAGAGCCAAAACUCACCUGCAAAGGGGCCUGAUAUCACUGCCCACCCCAGAAGGUUGUUGGGAACAUUGAAAGAAUUAGCCAAUGGAAACUGCCCGUAACGGGGCCUGCAACAAAAACAAGCACUGGGUAAGUCUCAGCUAUCAUCACCAUCAUCAUCACUAUUAUCAUUAAAACUAGGUCAAUUUGGAAAAAAAUACUAGGUCAGUUUGAUCCCUAAUUCGGUGCUAUUAAGGCCCACCCAAAAUGCCAGGUGAAUAGGAGUACCCUUCACUCACGUGGCUGUGGUCUACUUAGAGGAUCCCAUCGUGAGGCAACUGGUGAUAAACGGUGCAGAUUUUUACGGCGUUGGUCCUACCUUGCUAGUUUAGAAACACCUUCUCUCGCUCUAAGGUGGAAUGUUUUUGACUAUUUUCAGGUCUGAGGUUUUUUUCUUGAAACUGGAAUUAAAUCAGGUAGGAAAGAAAUCCUAAGGAGUACGUGCUACAGCUGGGGUGUUUCCUCAGCAAACUUAGGUAUAAUUUUAAAUGGCACCUAAGAAAAGAAAGCAUUGCUCCAUUCCUUUUUUCCUUACAUGCAACUGAAGUUUCACACCAGAUCAGGUGACAAAAGGAGAAAGGAAUUGCUGACAUCUGAGAGCUGUUUUGAAGGUGUGACCUCUAGGAAAAGGUCUCGUGCAUUGCAAUUCCCAGAUUUCCUGUUCAGAUUUUUAAAAUAGCAACUCUUGAACUCAAACAGGACAAUCACAGAAUAGCCUUCCCUCGAUGGCACUCACCACAGAGACCCCAAGAAGGCUGUCGUGAAGCAAGACCCACAUGGUUAAAAAUGCCUGAGGACUGUUGCGUUUGUGUUUAUUUUCAGAACGCCUUUUUGAAGUACAUACGCACUCCUAGAUUCUAUCCUUUCUUUCUAGUCUCCCGUACCCAAAGAAAACAAAUCUA